rnacentral:rRNA from 2 species
AUGUUUGAUGUUCUAACGUGGAUCCGUAAUCCGGGUUGCGGACAGUGUCUGGUGGGUAGUUUGACUGGGGCGGUCUCCUCCUAAAGAGUAACGGAGGAGCACGAAGGUUGGCUAAUCCUGGUCGGACAUCAGGAGGUUAGUGCAAUGGCAUAAGCCAGCUUGACUGCGAGCGUGACGGCGCGAGCAGGUGCGAAAGCAGGUCAUAGUGAUCCGGUGGUUCUGAAUGGAAGGGCCAUCGCUCAACGGAUAAAAGGUACUCCGGGGAUAACAGGCUGAUACCGCCCAAGAGUUCAUAUCGACGGCGGUGUUUGGCACCUCGAUGUCGGCUCAUCACAUCCUGGGGCUGAAGUAGGUCCCAAGGGUAUGGCUGUUCGCCAUUUAAAGUGGUACGCGAGCUGGGUUUAGAACGUCGUGAGACAGUUCGGUCCCUAUCUGCCGUGGGCGCUGGAGAACUGAGGGGGGCUGCUCCUAGUACGAGAGGACCGGAGUGGACGCAUCACUGGUGUUCGGGUUGUCAUGCCAAUGGCACUGCCCGGUAGCUAAAUGCGGAAGAGAUAAGUGCUGAAAGCAUCUAAGCACGAAACUUGCCCCGAGAUGAGUUCUCCCUGAGACUUAGAGUCUCCUGAAGGAACGUUGAAGACGACGACGUUGAUAGGCCGGGUGUGUAAGCGCAGCGAUGCGUUGAGCUAACCGGUACUAAUGAACCGUGAGGCUUAACCUUACAACGCCGAAG